UUUUUUUUUUUUUUUGCAGUGUGUCAUCAUUUAGGUUGCUAAUUUAAAAGUAUUUCAGCUCUGGAUUUUAGAACUAAAAAUAUCAUGAGAAAUAGUUUUCGUUCAGAUGUAGCUCAAGAUGCAUCUCUCCGUUGUUCAAAUUACUAUGCAUCCUCUUUGCUUCUCAUGGAAUUUGGAAACUAUCCCAACUGCUAAUAAUCUAAACAUUUUGGUCUUACAGGUGUUCUUUUGAUCACAAUGGAUAGUGACUCUUCUCUUCUGCCUGAGAGUGGUUCAAAAUGUAAGUUCAGUAAACUAAAUAAUUAAAUAUUAAUAAUUCUGAACAUCUAUGCAGAGCAGUUCUUCCCAUUUUUCAUUCCUUCUGCCUAAGGACUCUAGCUUCAUAAAUAAGAAUCCAGAAGGAAGUGCUAUACCCUUGAGUAGGGAUGGGGGGAGCCUAACCUAGAUGAACAUCUAUUCACUACCCAGCAGUGUAACUUUAUAUGACUGCAAUCACAGCCAUUGAUUCCUGUGCACCCCCACUGCCCCCAUGUUAUUUUCAUGGUAAUAGAAUACGAACCUUUGGUGCCUGGGUAAUGCUGAAUUGACACUUCCCCAGAUGUCAUAUGUUUCUGUGUGGCCCUGCCUGUUCUAAUCUUCUCUUGGUUCAAGCAGAUGGCUUCUGAUAUGUAGAAACAUCCAGGCCCAGAAACAGAGGGUUUUUUUGUUUGUUUUUGUUUUUGGUUUUGUUUUGUUUUGUUUUGGGGGGGGGUGGCCAGAUGAAAUCCUAUGGCUACUGUCAAGCUACCUUGCUUACCGAAUAUACAUUAAUCAAAAUGCUAUAGCCCAGCUGAUGACGUUUAUGCUGUUAGGAUCUGGUACACAUAAAUUAUAAAAUGGAAAGUGUUAAAGUGUACAGGAAGCCAUUGCUGUUUCACGCAGAGUUUGAAUGGUGAGGGAUUUUACAGAUUUCCCAGGGCUGGAUGCACCUUUUCCGUUUGAAGGAUAUCAAGUACUUUCAAGUAUGGCUGUUUAAAUAGUGAACUCUCAGUCUCUGAAAGGAACCUAGUGCUGAUUUGGACCCCUCCCUGCCUCUUUAGAGAUCUCAACACAUGAUUUAAGAUAUUUUUGAAAACUUCUUAGGCAUUUGAUGCAUUUUAUCAGUGGUCAGACUCUAGAAAGCUGAUUUUUAUUAGGAAAAAUAUCUCUUCUACCUUCUCUUAUCCCUUGCUUUUCUGCCUUCCUGUCUGUGCUCCCUUGCCCAAAACGUAGAUUUUCAUGUAAUUCAGUUCACUAAAUAUCACUUCCAUUUUUGCUUCUCUGCAGAGUUUAUUGCUAGAGCUGCUAAUAGACUUUCAGUGCAAAUAGUAUAUUGAUCACUUGAAA
rnacentral:lncRNA from 1 species